UACGUAGGGACCAAGCGUUGUUCGGAUUUACUGGGCGUAAAGGGCGCGUAGGCGGCGUGUUAAGUCAGCUGUGAAAUCUCCGAGCUUAACUCGGAACGGUCAGCUGAUACUGAUGUGCUAGAGUGCAGAAGAGGCAAUCGGAAUUCUUGGUGUAGCGGUGAAAUGCGUAGAUAUCAAGAGGAACACCUGAGGUGAAGACGGGUUGCUGGGCUGACACUGACGCUGAGGCGCGAAAGCCAGGGGAGCAAACGGG
rnacentral:rRNA from 1 species